rnacentral:tRNA from 1 species
AUUUAAAUAGCUUAAAAUUUUAAAGCAUUAUAUUGAAAAUAUAAAAAUGAUAAUAAUCUUUAAAUA